GACGAACGCUGGCGGCGCGCUUAAUACAUGCAAGUCGAACGAGAAGCCAGAGCUUGCUCUGGUGGAAAGUGGCGAACGGGUGAGUAACACGUGAGAAACCUGCCCCAAAGAUUGGGAUAAGCCUUGGAAACGAGGUCUAAUACCAAAUACCUUCUUUUAACACAUGUUAAAAAGAAGAAAUGCUCCGGCGCUUUGGGAUGGUCUCGCGAUCUAUCAGCUUGUUGGUGAGGUAACGGCUCACCAAGGCAUCGACGGAUAGCUGGUCUGAGAGGAUGUCCAGCCACAUUGGAACUGAGACACGGUCCAAACUCCUACGGGAGGCAGCAGUAGGGAAUCUUGCACAAUGAGGGAAACCUUGAUGCAGCGACGCCGCGUGCGGGACGAAGGCCCUAGGGUUGUAAACCGCUUUCAGUAGGGACGAAAGUGACGGUACCUACAGAAGAAGCCCCGGCCAACUAUGUGCCAGCAGCCGCGGUAAU
rnacentral:rRNA from 1 species